rnacentral:rRNA from 1 species
GACGAACGCUGGCGGCGUGCCUAAUACAUGCAAGUAGAACGCACAGUUUAUACCGUAGCUUGCUACACCAUAGACUGUGAGUUGCGAACGGGUGAGUAACGCGUAGCUAACCUGCCUGGUAGCGGGGGAUAACUAUUGGAAACGAUAGCUAAUACCGCAUAAUAUUAAUUAUUGCAUGAUAAUUAAUUGAAAGGUGCAAUUGCACCACUACCAGAUGGACCUGCGUUGUAUUAGCUAGUAGGUGAGGUAACGGCUCACCUAGGCGACGAAACAUAGCCGACCUGGGAGGGUUGUCGGCCAACCUGGGACUGGGACCCGGCCCAGACGCCUACGGGAGGCAGCAGGAGGGGAUCUUCGGCAAUGGACGAAAGUCUGAACGAGCAACGGCGCGGGAGUGAAGAAGGUUUUCGGAUCGUAAAGCUCUGUUGUAAGAGAAGAACGGGUGUGAGAGUGGAAAGUUCACACUGUGACGGUAUCUUACCAGAAAGGGACGGCUAACUACGUG